rnacentral:rRNA from 1 species
CAAACUGGAGAUGGCGACCGGCGCACGGGUGAGUAACACGUAUCCAACCUGCCGAUAACUCGGGGAUAGCCUUUCGAAAGAAAGAUUAAUACCCGAUGGCAUAAUAGAACCGCAUGGUUGAUUAUUAAAGAAUUUCGGUUAUCGAUGGGGAGUGCGUUCCAUUAGGCAGUUGGUGGGGUAACGGCCCACCAAACCUUCGAUGGAUAGGGGUUCUGAGAGGAAGGUCCCCCACCAUUGGAACUGAGACACGGUCCAAACUCCUACGGGAGGCAGCAUG